UACAUGUAGGUAAUUUAUUUAAAAUACAUAAGUAAAAUAUAUAAAUGGUUAAAUACAUUAAUUAUUUAAACUAAACAUGGAUUUUGUUUCAGGCAAUUCAUUGACAUUGUGCAUUUGGCAAUAUCUGACAUAGUGACAUGUCAGUUAUUUUCUCUGCAUCCGAAAAUUCUGUUUUUAACCAUUAUAAUGCGCUAAGAGUAUGGAAUGUUGAAUGUAUCAUGUAUGAAAGUAUUUAAAAAACACCCCAUGUAUUUAUUAAUACCAGAUGAUCUACCUAGAACCUAGCAAUACGUAUAACUAAAAGUAUGUUAUAGUUUUACCAUAAGAAUUAGACAAAACUAUUUUGCUUAUUAUUUUUCUAAAGACAGCUUUACAAAUAAAAUACAAUACAUUAUGGAUUCAGUUAUUCAAAAGAAUAAUUAUUUAUAUUUUACAUGUUUAACAUUUAGGUAAUGAAUUAAGAGGUCUUAACACCCGCAUGUGUUGUCUCCGUCUUACAAGUACGUAACAUAGCAAAUUAAUGCUCAGCAGAUCACGUUUAGCUCCGUCAGUUUAAAAAUUAGAGUUAAUCGACCUAUUAUGAAACUUUAUGGUAAGAACAUUAUAUGUGUAAAUGUGUUUGUAUGUUGGUUUCUUACGAUUAUUAAGUUUUUAAGUGAGUUAUGAGCAUUUUUAAUUUACACUAUGUUAUAUACGCAUAACUUGCUAAAAAAUUGAACUAUCGUAAAAAACCAAUAUACAAACACGGAUAAUGUUCUUACCUUCAAGUUUCAUAAUAGUUCGAUUUACUCUAAUUUUUAAACUGACAGAGCUAAACAUGAUCUAGCGUAAAUUUGCCAUGUUACGUACUUGUAAGACGGAGACAACACAUGCGGGUGUUACGGCCUCUUAAGAACUUAGUUUUUAAUUUUGAUGAUAAAGCACUUUUUUAAAACUUAAUUUCUAAGGUUGUAACUGUAAUAAAUAUUGUUCAUUAGUAGUGAAGGAACUCUUUAGUAUAGGUACUGAUUAACUGAUCAGAACUAAUAAAGUUUUGUUGUAAUAUUAUUAAAAUAAAUAAAAGUACCUAACUUACAGUGUGCGACAGGUAACUUUCAAUAAUUUAGAGGCAACAGUCGACAGAUAUCAAUUUAUUAAUAUAGGUCUACAAAAAAUAACAAUGCAAUUGUUUAAAUUAUAGUUACAUACAAUAUAUAUGUAUAAUAAUAAUUAAUUUAUUUGCUGAAAAAUUGUUCUCAAUUCCGUGGUCGGCAUGGUCAUAGUUUGUCAAUUAUGAUACAAUGAUUGAAUUAUAUAAUGUCAAUGUUUGUGCGUUUUUAGCUUUAAUUUAGAAAAAUCUUCUUAAUUAAUUUUUUUUUUUAAUAAGAUGUAGUUUCAGUUGACCAAUUUUUAGUAAAUAAUGAUUGAUAUUGGUA